rfam:Streptomyces sp. MBRL 601 scaffold00143, whole genome shotgun sequence.
CUUGACCGAGCCGAGCAGCAUGGGGCGCCCCUCGGGCCGGUCCUGGCCGUAGGCGGCGAGCAGCGCCUGCGCCUC